GAAGUCGAGAGUAAGAGAUGAUUGAAGCAAGAGGAGACGUCUUCCUCGAAUGCGUGAAGACGAGAAAGAGAGAAGGAAGCUAAUUUAGAACCGUGGCGGUUGGGGUGGCGAUUGUCGAGCUUGGAACAGAACUUGUUGAAGGUUUGAAGCACAAGGGGCAUUAUAAAAGCUGCAGAAAUGAAAAGUGGGUUUGUGUUGUUGAUGGUGUUUUUGGUGUCUUAGAGCGUUGAACAAUGGCGGGCUGUGGAGUUCAAAGAGGUUUUAUAGAAGGAAGAAGAAGAAGAAAAGAAGAAAGUUUCAAAUGGAGAAAUCCGCGUGCGCCGUGGCUUAAAGCCCAAGAGAGAGAGUAAGCAAACAUUUUGACUUCCCUUUUCUUAAUCAAUAUUAAAAUUCCAUUUCGCGUCAGGUUUACGAUCAUAACAAUUGCCUUUUUUCCUAUGCACCUUCCUUUUUUCUUCCACUUAUGUUGCUUCAUAUCAUCAAUCAUGAGUUACUUUUAAAAAAUAUGUUUAUUUUAGUUCAUGUCAUUGAUAGUAAUAGUUAGAAUUUUGUAUUUGUACACUGUGUUGACCAAAAUGAAAUUAGUUUGAAAUUUUUUUAAAAAAAUAAAGUAAUUAGAACAAAAACCAUUAGAUUUUUGUCUGUUUUUUUUAUCAUUUGGUCAAACCUGAAUUAGCUAAGGAUAAGAUCAAUAUGCAUAUUUGUUUGUUCUUAGAAAGUUGUAAUUAAUUUUCUUUUAGUCCUUCCAAAGAAACCUCCAAAUAUAAGAGGUUAAAAUAGUAUGUUAAUACAAAUUUAAUUUUUUGGUUAAAAACUUUAAAUAAAUAUUUCAAGAUAAUAUAUAUAUAUAUAGAAGAAAAAAAAAAAGGAAAGUUAUUAGAAAUGAAAACGUAGAAUAAAUAAGGGUGGGAGUAGUUAUAGACUUACACGUCGGACUUACAGCACACCAAAUAAGGAAAAGCUGUGGGCAUCCCCAGUUACACAUUUUACACGUCGGAUUGGACCAACUCAUUUUUUAAUAAAAAAUUGCUCUUCAACUUCAAACAAAACAUAAUUAAUGUCUUUAAUAGAGUUUUCUCAUUUGCAUUCUUCAUAUAAUCUUUCUAGUAUUUUGUUAUGUUGGUUUUUAUUUUCACAAUAAACCAUUUAUUGAUCUAUGUUGUCUUCCUCUUUUGGUUCUUUAUUUUUGUUUCACUUUGAGAUAUAAUUACCAUUUGAUUACUAGUUUCUACUGCAAUUAUAUUAAGAAUUAUUAAAGUGUGAUGUAUAAUGUAAGCAAAAUGUUAAUAUUAAUUUGCUAUAACAUAGGGCAAAUUGGAUGAUCCAUUUAGAAAAAGGAAAAUGUAGAAUGUUAUCUAAAAAAAGGAAUAAAUUUAAUUAUGGAAUGGAGAAAGAGAGGUGUUGAAUAGUGGGGGUCAAUUUAGUCAUUCUAUCUCUCGUCCAACUUUAUAGUCAAAAGCUUAACGUCAUCCAUGUAGUAAUCCGUACUUCAAUCCACAUACAAACGUGGAUUAUUAAUUUGCAUCAAAACCAUAUGCUCAAAUUUAACCAUUUAAUUACCCAUAUGGGGUUCAAACCAAAACAACACAAACCUUCUCUUAAUAAAUUUAAUUUCAUUCAAUAUUUUGUUUGUUUAUCCUUUCUCGUUGUUUCUGUGUAUUCUUUAAAAAAAAUAAAAUGUAUAUUUUUUUAUUUUUAGUGAUUUUGUUAAAUAAAUUUCAAACAGUCGUUAAUUUUUCCUAUUUUUUAGUUCAAUUAUCUAAAUUGGUGAGAUUUUGAAAAUUUUAUACUAAAAGACGAAGAAAUUAAAAUUUAUGUUUUUACGUUGAAACUUCAUACUAUCAAAUCUAAUUUGAUAUUAGAGACAAUGAAACUCAAAAGAGAUAAAAAGAUCAAUUUUUACAUUAAAAAGACUUUAAAAUUUACUCUAUUUAUAAAUUAAUUGGUUUUGAGAUUUAGCCAUGUAAUAUUAUUUAUUUCUUAAAAAAACUCAGUUAAAAUUUGAAAAUUAGAAAAAGUGAUCUGUAAAUAACUCAUGUUAGUUUUUAAAAUUUGUAUCAUGAUAAGAAUUUUUUUUUAAAAAAAAGUUUAAGAUAUAACUAAUAGAGGUAAAGAGAGGGCUUAAGUCAAUUUGAGCCCACUUAAAUAUUUAUGGUAUAUGGUUGGGUGUACAAGUUCUUAAAGUCACAUUUCUAUACCUUCACAUAUGUCAUUGAUGUAAAAUAAGACGUUGAUGUGAAAUAAGAUAUCUUUGUGUAGGGAUGUAAGUUCAACUCGAAUAACCUAACAAUUUGGACUACCCAACUCAUAUAGUUAGUUUAUAAUAUGGGUUAGGUUGAGUUGAAAAUUUUAGUUUUUAUUAAGUUGGAUUUCGGGUUGGAGGUUGAAAAAGUCGGUUCAAUCUAAUCUAACCAUAAAUAAUAUAUAUAAAUAAAAAUAAAGUUAUGAGUGUUGAGUGUUGAGUAAUAAAUUUCGGCCAAUUAAAUCAUGUUACAUCAUCACAACAAAUAUAAUUAUAUUUUAUUGGAUUUUGAUAGUUAAGUUUACUCAAUUCAAGCUCAACAAGUAGAUGAACCCAAGCUCAAUAAAGCAAAUAGGUCUAAGUCCAAACCCAAUAAGGCAAAUGAGUCCAAACCUAAGCCCAACAAACAAAUGGGCCAAAGCCCACCUAAAACCCACAAAAUUUCUCUAUAAAUAGAGACAUUUGUCAUACAUUUGAUGAGGUCUCUUGUUGAAGGAAUAAUUGAAGCUCGGAAGAGAAUCUUCGGAAAGAUUAAAGACUUUGAAGAUCAAACUUUCCUUGAAGAUCAAACUUUCUUUGAAUUUCAGAAAACUGAAGCUACAACAUCCUAUUCGAAAGAAAGCAUCAAAUGAGUAAAUACUAGAGAUUGUAUUCAUAAUAUUCAUCAAUAUACAAAUUUCAAUUCCAC
rnacentral:lncRNA from 1 species